UAAGGAAUGACUGUAAUAUUUUUUCUGUCUAUGAAGAAAUAAAAUAAAAAAUUUGGUGCACACUGAAUACCGCGCGUAGCGGGUUGUUUUACAGUGUGCACCACAUUUUUUGUGUUAUUUCGAAUAGACAGAAAAAAAUAUAACAGUCAUUUCUUA
rnacentral:sRNA from 1 species